rnacentral:rRNA from 1 species
AAUCAACGCUGGCGGCGUGCCUAACACAUGCAAGUCGAACGCGAAAGCCCCGAAAGGGGUCAGUAGAGUGGCAAACGGGUGAGUAACACGUGGGUGACCUGCCUUCGAGUGGGGGAGUAACGUCCCGAAAGGGACGAUAAUACCGCAUAACAUCCUGCCUUUGAAGGGGCGGACAUCAAAGCUGGGGAUCGCAAGACCUCGCGCUUGAAGAGGGGCCCGCGCCUGAUUAGCUAGUUGGGGGGUAAUGGCUCACCAAGGCAACGAUCAGUAUCCGGCCUGAGGAGGGCGGACGGACACACUGGGACUGAGACA